rnacentral:rRNA from 1 species
CCCCACUGCUAUCGGGAUAGGACUAAGACAUGCUAGUCGUGUGACUCAGGCAAAACGAGUCACGGCACGCAGCUCAGUAACACGUGGCUAAUCUGCCCUUAGGACAAGAACAACCCCGGGAAACUGGGGCUAACUCUUGAUAGGCAAAGAACUCUGGAAUGAGUCUUUACCUAAAUAGAUUCACGUUAUCCUCGUGAAUCUGCCUAAGGAUGAGGCCGCGACCGAUCAGGUUGUUGGUGAGGUAAUGGCUCACCAAGCCUUUUACCGGUGCGGGCCGUGGGAGC